CACCGGCGGCUCGAGUGGUGGCCACUUGUAUUGGGUCUAAAGCGUCCGGAGCCGGCUUGGCAAGUCCCCUGGGAAAUCUGGCGGCUUAACCGUCAGGCGUCCAGAGGAUAAUGCCAGGCUUAGGACCGGGAGAGGUGAGAGGUACCUCAGGGGUAGGGGUGAAAUCUUGUGAUCCCUGAGGGACCACCAGUGGCGAAGGCGUCUCACUAGAACGGGUCCGACGGUCAGGGACGAAAGCUGGGGGCACGAACCGG
rnacentral:rRNA from 1 species